rnacentral:rRNA from 1 species
GAUGAGCGCUGGCGGCGUGCCUAAUACAUGCAAGUCGAGCGGUAACAGGUCUAGUUUACUAGAUGCUGACGAGCGGCGGACGGCUGAGUAACACGUAGGAACGUACCCCAAAGUGAGGGAUAACUGCUCGAAAGAGUAGCUAAUACCGCAUGUGAUCUAAGGAUUAAAGCUUUAUGCGCUUUGGGAACGGCCUGCGUUCGAUUAGCUAGUUGGUGAGGUAAAGCUCACCAAGGCGAUGAUCGAUAGCUGGUCUGAGAGGAUGAUCAGCCAGACUGGGACUGAGACACGGCCCAGACUCCUACGGGAGGCAGCAGUAGGGAAUUUUCCACAAUGGACGAAAGUCUGAUGGAGCAACGCCGCGUGCAGGAUGAAUGUCUUCGGAUUGUAAACUG